AUUGAACGCUGGCGGCAGGCCUAACACAUGCACGUCGAGCGAGCGGCGGACGGGUGAGUAAUGUAUGGGGACUGCCCGAUAGAGCGGGAUAACUACUUGAAACGGCAGCCAAUACCGCAUACUAUCGGAUAACCCAUAUGGGAUUAGCUAGUAGGUGAGGUAAUGGCGCACCAAGGCGACGAUCCCUAGCUGGGCUCAGAGGAUGAUCAUCCACACUGGGAUUGAGACACGGCCCAGACUCCAACGGAGGCAGCAGUGGGGAAUAUUGCACAAGGGGCGCAAGCCUGAUGCAGCCAUGCCGCGUGUAUGAAGAAGGCCCUAGGGUUGUAAAGUACUUUCAGGCGGGAGGCGUUACCGACAGAAGAAGCACCGGCUAACUCCGUGCCAGCCGCCGCGGUAAUAC
rnacentral:rRNA from 1 species